CCCAGUUCGGAUUGUAGUCUGCAACCGACUACAUGAAGCUGGAAUCGCUAGUAAUCGCGAAUCAGAAUGUCGCGGUGAAUACGUUCCCGGGUCUUGUACACACCGCCCGUCACACCAUGGGAGUCGGAAAUGCCCGAAGUCAGUGACCCAACCGUAAGGAGGGAGCUGCCGAAGGUGGAGCCGGUAACUGGGGUGAAGUCGUAACAAGGUACC
rnacentral:rRNA from 1 species